AUUGGACUACCAGACGUUGGAAUUCCACGUGAUUUCUAUUCAGGAGUAUUGUUAUGUUGAGAAUGCUUAGACGAACUCUAAGGUUUUCAAAGAGAUGGACAAGAUGGUCCGGGAAUUAGAACUCAAAGUUCCAUGAAGGGAUUUGAAUAACCAAAUAAGUGUUACAUGACAAAAGUGGCGAUUGUAAGCAAGACAGGAUAUAGAGAACAAGACAAAUGGAUUGUCGAGAUGACUAAGCUCGAUCGUCGUAGUAGGGUUGUGCAGUCCUUGAGUUGAGGUCAUCAAAAUAAUAAAUUGAAAGUAAAGUAUACUUUCCAAAGACUAGUUAACUGAUCAAGAAACUACUCGAAAGUACCAAAUGCUAUAGAUGAUGGGUUGUAGUCAGAGUGACGAUGGUAGUGGUAUG
rnacentral:lncRNA from 1 species